rnacentral:tRNA from 1 species
UAGAUGGAAGCUUAUUGGUUAGAGCAUUUAGCUGUUAACUAAAAAAUUGUAGGAUCGAGGCCUGCCCAUCUAG